GGCCAGUGGUGUUUACAACUAAUUGAUCACAACCAGUUACAGAUUCCUUUGUUCCUUCUCCACUCCCACUGCUCCAC
rnacentral:sRNA from 1 species